rnacentral:rRNA from 1 species
AACGCGAAGAACCUUACCCAGGCUUGACAUGCAGAGGAAGUUAGUAGAGAUAUUAACGCCCUUCGGGGCUUCUGCACAGGUGCUGCAUGGCUGUCGUCAGCUCGUGCCGUGAGGUGUUGGGUUAAGUCCCGCAACGAGCGCAACCCUUAUCGUUAGUUGCCAACAGGUAAUGCUGGGAACUCUAGCGAGACUGCCUGGGUUAACCAGGAGGAAGGUGAGGAUGACGUCAAGUCCGCAUGGCCCUUAUGUCUGGGGCUACACACGUGCUACAAUGGUCGGUACAGAGGGCAGCGAAACCGCGAGGCGAAGCAAAUCCCAUAAAGCCGGCCCCAGUUCAGAUUGUAGUCUGCAACUCGACUACAUGAAGAUGGAAUUGCUAGUAAUGGCGAGUCAGCAACAUCGCCGUGAAUACGUUCCCGGGCCUUGUACACACCGUACGUC